GACGAACGCUGGCGGCGUGCUUAACACAUGCAAGUCGAACGGAAAGGCCCUGCUUUUGUGGGGUGCUCGAGUGGCGAACGGGUGAGUAACACGUGAGUAACCUGCCCUUGACUUUGGGAUAACUUCAGGAAACUGGGGCUAAUACCGGAUAGGAGCUCCUGCUGCAUGGUGGGGGUUGGAAAGAUUCGGCGGUUGGGGAUGGACUCGCGGCUUAUCAGCUUGUUGGUGGGGUAGUGGCUUACCAAGGCUUCGACGGGUAGCCGGCCUGAGAGGGUGACCGGCCACAUUGGGACUGAGAUACGGCCCAGACUCCUACGGGAGGCAGCAGUGGGGAAUAUUGCACAAUGGGCGGAAGCCUGAUGCAGCAACGCCGCGUGCGGGAUGACCGCCUUCGGGUUGUAAACCGCUUUCGCCUGUGACGAAGCGUGAGUGACGGUAAUGGGUAAAGAAGCACCGGCUAACUACGUG
rnacentral:rRNA from 1 species